UGACAAUUUACUUGGACAAGGCUGAAAGCCUUGCUAGUUCAGCUGUCAGGUUGCUGCGUACUGUGCAUAGGGAAGCUGUGUGGCUGAAGGGGUAGGAAGGAGUAAAACUCUGGUCUGAUUCAGGAGUCUCAGAUUCAGACAGAUGGUAUCAACCAGUUGGAACACUCCUAGUUAUAAGCCAUUAAGGUGAGCAGCGGGUCAGAGCCUUGCAAAAUAGGGGAUCCAGUGUUUCUGCCUGAUGUGCCCCUAUGCCUGCGCAAUUCUUAAGCAGAAAAAAAAUUAAAAAAACAAACAGAACAAAACAAACCUCAGCAGAGAUCCUGAUUACCUUUCAUCAUUAAAGUUUUGCCAUGGAUUAUCCUUCUGAGCCAAACAUUUCUGGCUGCUAUAUAAUGUUGCCUGAUUUCCCCUUUGGUGCUCCUGGCAAGUCUGGGCAAGACCCUCUCCACAGGAAAUGUGCCUGCGUCCAGCAUUGAGUGGAUCAACACACUGGUGCUCAGAGCUUCUAAUGCAUGGGUUCAAAUGCCUAAAGCUUUCCUGCUUCGUCCAAAGUGUACUCACGGCUCUCCUCCCUCUAAACAAAACGGCUGCGACACUGUGUUUCUAUAACGCACUUUUGUUCUGUUUGUUUUCCGUGCUGGCUGCCCUGUCCCAUACCAACCACUCACACACAUGUCUAGGGUGGUUCAGGAGAACCUUCCUGUACCAACAGCCACCCAUUCCCAGGCAGGGGGAGUUCAAGGGUAAGAACAUAAAUUGUUUCCUCAUGUCCUGGAAGCUCGGUGUGGUUUUACUAUAGCUUCUUUACAGGUAGUAACUGAGCCAUUAUGAGCAUGAUGGAAAUUAAUGCAUAUACUUGGAGGACGACAGGCUGUAUUUUAAUGUAGACCUUUUUAUGAUGCAUAAUACUGACUCUAUGAAUACAUGAAGAUGCAAUUUAUUUACACCUUUGGUUUGUUUAUAAAAAAUGCCUUAUGCAUAUACUUUACAGCAGUACCGCUUUUAGUCCACACAUAUAAAUUAUCUACUAACUACCAUGCACCCACAGGCUCGGUGGGAUUCAUGUUAGUGAUGAGAAAUAUUGCCAAUUGCAUCCUCUGAAGUUUUGGGUUCACAAUGGGCUUUGUCCUGAGGUUUUUGUCAUGAUGUUUCUAAUACAAUAUAUAUUCAGUAAAGAGGAAGAAAAAGGGAAAAAGCUGUCAGUGUCUUGUGGGAGUCUCUCUUCAAUUCCUUGCCUGUGGUGCAUUUUGCUCGAACAUUGCUGUACUAAGUUUUAUCUCCAUGUUUAUCUAUCUGUCUACACCAGAGGAUAUAUUGACCAGGAUAUUAUUCCCCACCUACAUCUGCUUUGUUGUGGCUCUUAAAUCUUCAUUGUUACCUAAUCCCUUGACAAGCUCUACAGUGUUCAACUCCUGGGUGCCUCUACUACAGUACACAGCAGAUUUGCAUAUAGCUAAAUCACCCCAUGAAGAAUUCCCUUGGUGCCCAUUUUCUACUUAAACUGGUGAUUAAGUACCUCUAUCUACUACAAUUUCAAAAGCAUCAGCAUGUUCCUGGGUGCCUAUUUUAGCUGGUUGAAGAAGUAAUUUAGUUUUCUUGGGAAAUGUCAAAAUUUUAUUGUUUUUUCCCCUCCAAUGUUCCCCAUGCUGUUUUGUUUUCUCUUGAAUAGAAGAGAGCAAAGCCAUGUAUUUCAAUGACACCAACAAGAAUAAUAAAAAAGGAUAGAUGGGGGGGUGCCUCUUCUUUUGGGAAAAAAAAUAAUCCCACACCACAAUUAGCAAAAGAAUGAAGAAAAUCUAAGCAUUUUUAUUGAAAGCUAAACAAUUUCUCAUUUUUUUCUGUUAUCUGUUUCUGGUUUUCUCAUCAAUAACCAGCACAUUUGGUGGGAAAUCUGUGUCUUGUUAAAAAUAUCUUCCAAGAAAAAUUUUUCAGCAGCCUGAGACUAUAUGUACAUUUGUGUACAGAGACAUAGUAUUAGAAAUCCACUUAUAUAAAAUAGUAACCUUCACAGUUAAAAAAUGUUGAACCAUCUGAAUGCUAAAGCUAAGACUGCACACACACUCUUAAUUUAAUUCUCUUAUGUAUUUGCCUAACAGGUCAAACUUAAAUUCACCUACACUCUUUGGCCUUUGUAGCCAUUCGCUGGAACAAAGCAGCAGUCACUGUAGGAGAUCUGGGCAGAUGAACGUUUUCUUUGCCUUGAGGGAAACAGAGUCACUGUUCACAGCUGCUCUGACCCCACUUCCCUUUCUGGUUGACAGCACGGACAGCGUGGCUGCACAAAUGGGCAGCAUCGGGGCUCUGCUUCAGCUCAUGGCAGUGGGCAGGUCAACUGAUGUGAGAAUGUCUGUCUUCUGAGGUGGAGGUGUUCGUACCUGGCUCUGGACAGC